UCGGCUCCACCUACGGUUUUCAGCUUCCCGAUGGUAUCCUUCAAGGCCAUGACCUGCUUGGCAGCAGCUGCUCCAUCCAUUUCAGCCUCCACUAGUUUGGACAUGAGGCAUUCCUUCUCCUGCUGGAGGUGUUUCUUUUGAAGCCUGGGGCCAAAAAAAAAAAAAAAAAACAGGAAUCCUGAGAGCCAGUAGGGCCCAGCCCACCCAGAGCUCUGAUGUCCACCUCACAAUGGCCUGAGAGACUCCCUCAAGAAACACUGAGAAAUGUUUCCUGCCGAGAAACAAUGAGGAAGAGGAACAGACAGCCCUUCUUACCCAGGUAGCCUUCUGGAAGGAUGAGGGCCCAGAGACAUACCUGCUUCAGGAUGAGAGCAAAAGCUCUACCAAGGGGUCCCACGGCAUGACCUAUGGCCUUGACUAUCAGGACCACCUCCAUGGUCUUGAGCUCACUCACCCCUUCUCAUCAGUUGCUCUGGCCGUUUGAGUCUGGGUUUCUAAUACCCAUGGCUGGAUUGGGAACUUGCUAUGUCUGAAGGAUUGGGCUUGAAUUCCCAAUCCUGCUGGACCUACGACCUGUUACUUUGUCUACAACAUAUACGACGGUGCCUAAUCACGGCUCAGCUUUUAAAUGUUCCCCACAUCCUCAAGGUGUUACCAACCAGCCUGGGGGGGUGGGGUGUGUGUGGCUGAGAGGUAGAGCACCAAGCAUGCUACGUUCAGGCUGUGGACUCUAUCCUUACAAGUGUGUAUAUAUAAACUCAUGCCGACACUCCAAGCCCUGCAAUCUCUGUGGCAGCUUUCACCCUCUGCAGCCAGCCGUGACCCACAUCCUACUGCUCAGGAUAAAUGAUGUCUACCCUGGGUCUCCCCACAAAAUGUUCUCCACAUUUCUUCUUCCAAUGCCUGCCUAACCCCACAGUCCUGUUUCCCCAACAGCCCGUUUAAAGGAGUUCUCUGUCUACUACUCACACCACCACCACUGGGACCUUCUUUCCCUCGAGGGACAGCCAUAUGCUGUGCUGGCUCCCCACAGGCACUACUAGAGUUGCCUCCCGCCACUGUCUUCACUUUGCUUCCAGGGCUCUGGGCCAGCAGGAAGGUGUGACUCCGCCUGGUCCCUUACAUGGUGAAGUCCUUCUCCUCCUUGAUACGCUCGAUGUUGUGUCUGAGCACCGUGUUCUCAUGCUCCGUCUCUGCAAGCUCGUGUGCCACCUCCUCCAGCUCUUCCUUCCUCUCCUCCAGGAACCUUUUGGCCAUUUGGCGUUCACCUUUCUGCAUCUUGACCUUGGAAAGGGGAUACAGGAAAGGGAAGCCAAAAAGAUGGCUUGUCCCUGAAGAUCCAUUGCUACAUGUAACCCUACUAAGGAAAGUGAUAGGGCUCUGUGUUUGGGAGCUUCUGGACAUUGUCCCAGUAAACAGCCACACAAACAUUGCCUGUCCUCCUCCUCCAGGCAUACAUGAAGAACCUGAAUACAAAGCGUGAUGCGUGCCAGCCAGGGUGGGGCCAGGCAGCAACAGUAGUGCAGUUGGCAUGCCACAGGAGGAAAGAUGUCACAAAAAAAGUACAGUGGCUAUGGGGUAAGAGGGCCUUUUGCCAGGUCUUAGAACCUCCAGUAGAGUGGAGAGUUAAAAAGACGCAGGUACCUUAGCAGUCAGGACCUGGCUUUUAAUGCCAGCACUCCCUGCUUCCAAGUCGGGGUCUACGUGUUGGCUGUUUCCAGCUCCAUUCCCAUCUCCCUCCCCACAAGUAUCCCUGCCACGUGUGAAGAGAGAUUUCCUUUGUCUCCUCUACUCCUGUUCAGCUUUUCUCAGUAGCACAGGCUGUGCUCUCUGUUUUACAGACACUGUAUCUGGGUGGAAGGAAGCACUAAGCCAGGGAGCGGCACACUCCUAAAACUGCAGCCCCCAGUAGGCACUAGAGGACAGCUCAACUCUGAGGCCACCAGCGCUACAUAGUGAGAUGAUGCCUCACACAACAAACAAACAAGGGCUAACACCAGAACCAAAUCUGGCCACCCACUGAGAGUACCAGAAAAGCCAAGUAUUCAGAGAGGGCUCCCAGCAUGGUGGAAACUUAAGCUGCCUGCUGACCACUCCAAAUAGAUGCCCUGGGAAGGCUCACAGAGGCAGCCUGAGGGAAGCAUCCACAGGCUAACCAGUUUAGCCCAACCUGCUUGUCCUCAGGGUACCAGCUAUGCAGCCUAGCAGCUCCCUCACCUCAGAUUUGAGACAACCGACCGCGUUCAUUAGACUGUCAAUCUUCUUAUCGUAACGGUUCAUUUUACAGUGACCUGAAUCGUCGUCUUCUGUAGAAAGGUCACUUAAUCGCAUCACCGAGACCAGCUUUUCUGAAGAUGGUGGUGUGAUCUCCAGGCAAUGAGGUGGAUUCUGAUGCAAAGGAGUGAAAGAUAGAUAAGCUGCUAAGGCCAAGCCUCGGACGGAAGUGUACUUAUUUGCUCUGUGGAGUUUUGCUGACUGCCAAAGUGACUGGCAGAGCCGACACACUGCAAUGGCAACCCAGAGCUCCUGCCCAGGAAUCAACCACUCUAGACCCUCCUGAAGGAAACAUUACCUGCCCAAGUCUAAAUGAUGGUUUUGAAGAAUUUCUAACAUUGAAAAAGGCAUGGGUUAGAAUGUUAAGUUAUAAAGAAGGCUAGGUUUGUGUGCUGUGUGCCUGAAUAGUCCCAGCUACUGGGGAGGCUGAGACUUCUGGAAGAGGAGUUCAAGAUCAGAUCAGGCAACAUAAAGACACUCAACCUUUUAAAAAAGAGAAAAAGAAACAAACAAACACAUGGUGGUGCAAGUGGUGGCCAUGCCUUUUUAAUCCCAGCACUCAGGAUCUGUGAAUUCAAGGCCAGCCUGGUCUAUAGAGUCCCAGAACAGUCAGGGCUACACAGAGAAACCGUUUCCAAAAUGUGAAGAGAUGUGACAUUAUCUCUUCUACGUUCCAAGACACACAUACAGUGCCUUACAUAUACUAGGGCAAAAUACCUAUCAAAUAAAACUUAAGAGAGU
rnacentral:lncRNA from 1 species